rnacentral:lncRNA from 1 species
UCCUGAGGGAAUGCUAAUCAUAAGAAAUUGUAUACAAUACCUUUCUUCAGUGUUUUUAAAGGACCACCAGGACUUUAAUUUCUCAGGACCAGGCUGAAACAGAUAUCACUGCUCAACAAGAAUAAGAUGAAAAACCAUCAUUUUAAUGGACUUGAUGCAGGCUGCCAUGUCAUGAUAGCUCUCAAACUGCUCAGCCAAUUUGACCUUCUGCCUCAGCUCAUUUUUAUCCAUGACUGAAUAGUCUGUGCCAGCACCAAUAACAGUCGAGUUGAGUUGUUCUAUUGGAGCAAGCCACCAAGCCUGGGAAGAGGAAUUUCAGAGCAGUUAAGAUGAGAGCCCAACAGCUGGCUAUUUGUAUUAGUUUGGAGUGGGCUGACUAAUGCCACAAGUAAACACUUCUGAAAAACUGACCACUUUAACCAACGCUUGAAAUGUGACUAUUAACUCUCUGAAGUACUGCUGGAAACUCAACCUGAAAUCUCCUCCCAGGGUAAUUAAUUCGCAGAGAGAAACGGUGCCCUGAAGCAAGGCACAACAUCUGUACAUAGGUACAAAAGAGAAGCAUGAUUAUGGGGAGACAUUUUAUGUAUGCAUUUAAGCUUCAACGUAUUUUUAGCAGCACUUGUAGAACUACUUACUUACUUCUCCCUGAGAAGCUCCU